rnacentral:rRNA from 1 species
GGACCUGCCCAGUGAAGAAUUUUAACGGCCGCGGUACUCUGACCGUGCAAAGGUAGCAUAAUCACUUGCCUUAUAAUUGAAGGCUGGUAUGAAUGGUUUGACGAAAGCAUUUCUGUCUCUUUUCCAGUUUAUAAAAAUUAACUUUCGGGUGAAGAGGCCCGCCUAAAGUUGAAGGACGAGAAGACCCUGUCGAGCUUUAAGAAAACAAGGAAAAUUUUAUACUUUAGUAGAUAUACAACCUUUUUUAUCUUUUGGUUGGGGCGACUAGGGAACAAAAAAAGCUUCCCUUAUUUGAAGAACUUUUUGUAAGGAUCCAGUAUUAAAGUUACUGAUUAGAAAAAUUAGUUACCGCAGGGAUAACAGCAUAAUCCUUCUUGAGAGAUCUUAUCGAAAGAAGGGGUUGUGACCUCGAUGUUGGACUAGGAUAUCCUGAGGGUGCAGAAGCCUUCAAGGGUUGGUCUGUUCGACCAUUAAAAUCCU